AUGGCUCUUGCACACUUGAGUGAGCUGGAUAAUGAGCCUGGAAAGCCUGUCCUGUGCUUGGCCAGUCCCAGAACCCACCCAGGCAUGAACCACGACUGGAAAUACUCCUCUGUGCUGCCUAGAGAUGCUGCUGUUACCUGGCCCCAGACAGCUCCGGACACUCUGAGUCAGCGGUGGGGGGCGAUAGACCCACCCUGGGGAUCCAGAAGCCCCCCCAUCCCAGGGGAGCCAGACACCCCGCCGGCUCCGGGCAGAGCCUCCCCGCCGGAGCACAUGUUGCUGCAGCCGGUUCGAGCCAGCGCUCCGCAGCCGUGCCUGCCGCCUUCGGGAUUCCUCCUGCCCCUCCUGCCCUCCCCAGCCCAGCCGCAGAGGGGCUGGAAGAGUGGGUGAAGUUGCUCCAACCCCUCCAUCCCCUUCUUCCUUCUCCUCCUCCUCUCUCCCAGGAAAGGUAAGAGAAGCAGUGGCUACUCUCCAGUUGCUCCUGCACCUUU
rnacentral:lncRNA from 1 species